rnacentral:rRNA from 1 species
GACAGAGGAUGCAAGCGUUAUCCGGAAUGAUUGGGCGUAAAGCGUCUGUAGGUGGCUUUUUAAGUCCGCCGUCAAAUCCCAGGGCUCAACCCUGGACAGGCGGUGGAAACUACCAAGCUGGAGUACGGUAGGGGCAGAGGGAAUUUCCGGUGGAGCGGUGAAAUGCGCAGAUAUCAGGAGGAACACCGAUGGCGAAGGCAGGUCUCUGGGCGAUUAACUGACGCUGAGGAGCGAAAAGCAUGGGGAGCGAACAGG